rnacentral:rRNA from 1 species
AUAAGGGCGCAGGGCGAAUGCCUUGGCAUCAGGAGCCGAAGAAGGACGUGGCAAGCUGCGAAAAGCUACGGGGAGUCGCAAGCAGACUUUGAUCCGUAGACAUCCGAAUGGAGCAAUCCGGUACGAGUAAUAUCGUAUCAACGUAUGGUGAAUACAUAGCCAUACGUGGGGAACCGUCUGAACUGAAACAUCUAAGUAGGACGAGGAAAAGAAAUCAACAGAGAUUCCGCUAGUAGUGGCGAGCGAACGCGGAAGAGGCCAAACCGUGGGUAGAAAUACCUGCGGGGUUGCGGACUGCAUUUAGCAUUGUCGAGAGUUAACCGAAGUAUGUGGGAAAAUACACCGAAGAAAGUGAAAGUCUUGUAGGUGAAAACUUGAGGCAGCGAGCAGGAUCCAGAGUACCGCCGGACACGUGAAACCCGGUGGGAAGCCGGGGGGACCACCCUCCAAGCCUAAAAACUACCUGAUGACCGAUAGCGAACAGUACUGUGAAGGAAAGGUGAAAAGCACCCCGGGAGGGGAGUGAAAGAGAACCUGAAACCUUGUGCCUACAAGCACAUAGAGCGCGUCAAUGCGUGAUAUGGUACCUAUUGUAGAAUGGUCCGGCGAGUAUUCGUAUGUAGCAAGGUUAAGCACUUAAGGUGUGGAGCCGAAGGGAAGCCGAGUCUGAAUAGGGCGUUAAGUUACAUGCGGAUGACCCGAAACCGGGUGACCUAUCCAUGUCCAGGCUGAAGUUGGGGUAAGACCCAAUGGAGGGCCGAACCGACCCCCGUUGAAAAGGUGGCGGAUGAGGUGUGGAUAGCGGUGAAAUUCCAAUCGAACCCGGAUAUAGCUGGUUCUCCCCGAAAUAGCUUUAGGGCUAGCCUCAUAAAAGAUUACCGGAGGUAAAGCACUGAAUGGGCUAGGGGUCGAGAGACUACCGAACCCUAUCAAACUCUGAAUGCCGGAUAAUUGAUUUAUGGGAGUCAGACUGUGUGAGAUAAGUUUCAUAGUCGAAAGGGAAAGAGCCCAGACCCACAGCUAAGGUCCCAAAGUAAGUUUAAGUGGAAAAGGAUGUGGAACUGCGAAAACAACCAGGAUGUUGGCUUAGAAGCAGCCAUACAUUGAAAGAGUGCGUAAUAGCUCACUGGUCGAGUGGUUCUGCGCCGAAAAUUUAACGGGGCUAAAACUUACACCGAAGCUUGGGCAGGCAUCAACUGAACAAGUUCUAUUUUUAAAAUUCUAGAGGGGUAAAUAUUCCCGCGAAGGCGGGUAAAUUGUCCAGAAGGAUAAAAGGAAGUGGAAUUUGUUCAGUUGAUGACUGGGUAGGGGAGCGUCGUAUAUGGAGAGAAGUCGUAGCGGAAGCGGCGGUGGACUGUAUACGAGUGAGAAUGCCGGAAUGAGUAGCGAGAAUUAUGUGAGAAUCAUAAUGGCCGAAAGACUAAGGUUUUAGGAGGAAGGUUCGUCCGCUCCUAGUUAGCCGGGAGCUAAGGUGAGGCCGAGAGGCGUAGCCGAUGCACAUACGGUUGAGAUUCCGUAGCCUCCAAAAGAUUUAAGCAAAGGGACACUUUCAAAGGGUAUGAGCCGGGCGAUGGUAGACCCGGUCGUAAGGGACCGAAAUUAAGUAGGGAAGCAUACUUAGAGGAAGGCGAGAAAAGCUUUGUGUAUAUCUGAGGAGCCCGUACCGCAAACCGACACAGGUAGUUAGGAAGAGAAUUCUAAGGCCAACGGGAGAAGGGUUGUUAAGGAACUCGGCAAGUUGACCCCGUAACUUCGGGAGAAGGGGUGCUCCAGCGAUGGAGCCGCAGAGAAUAGGCCCAGGCGACUGUUUAGCAAAAACACAGGUCUCUGCUAAAUCGAAAGAUGACGUAUAGGGGCUGACACCUGCCCGGUGCCGGAAGGUUAAGAGGAGGAGUGAGAGCUCUGAAUUGAAGCCCCGGUAAACGGCGGCCGUAACUAUAACGGUCCUAAGGUAGCGAAAUUCCUUGUCAGGUAAGUUCUGACCCGCACGAAUGGUGUAACGAUCUGGGCACUGUCUCAACAACCCGCCCGGCGAAAUUGUAGUACCGGUGAAGAUGCCGGUUACCCGCGACUAGACGGAAAGACCCCAUGGAGCUUUACUGUAGCUUAAUGUUGGAUUUUGGUAUGUAAUGUACAGGAUAGGUGGGAGACGAGGAACCAUAGGCGUCAGCUUAUGGGGAGUCAACCUUGGGAUACCACUCUUUAUGUGCUGAAAUUCUAACCUGCGACCAUGAAUCUGGUCGGGGGACAUCGUUAGGUGGGCAGUUUGACUGGGGCGGUCGCCUCCAAAAGAGUAACGGAGGCGCUCAAAGGUUCGCUCAGCAUGGACGGAAACCAUGCAUUAGAGUGUAAACGCAGAAGCGAGCCUAACUGCGAGACUGACGGGUCGAGCAGUAACGAAAGUUGGAGUUAGUGAUCCGGCGGUAUGAGAGUGGAAUUGCCGUCGCUCAACGGAUAAAAGCUACCCUGGGGAUAACAGGCUGAUCUCCCCCAAGAGUCCACAUCGACGGGGAGGUUUGGCACCUCGAUGUCGGCUCAUCGCAUCCUGGGGCUGUAUUCGGUCCCAAGGGUUUGGCUGUUCGCCAAUUAAAGCGGUACGCGAGCUGGGUUCAGAACGUCGUGAGACAGUUCGGUCCCUAUCUGUCGUGGGCGUAGGAUAUUUGAGGAGAGCUGUCCCUAGUACGAGAGGACCGGGAUGGACGCACCUCUGGUGCACCAGUUGUCAGGCCUACUGGCACAGCUGGGCAGCUAUGUGCGGAACGGAUAAACGCUGAAAGCAUCUAAGCGUGAAGUCGCCUUCAAGAUAAGAUAUCCCGUCGCAAGACUAAGACCCCUCAAAGACGAUGAGGUUGAUAGGCUCAAAGUGUAAGCAUGGUGACAUGUUCAGCUAGCGAGUACUAAUCGGUCGAGCGCUUGACCU